ensembl:misc_RNA
GAACUAAUUACGGAGGGGAUGUGUUUCAAUUUGUUCCGCAUUAGCGCCGCGCCGGACCGCGGGCACCAAGCACGGGAAAUUGAUGAGCCGAGCCCCGGGCAUCCCGCCGGCUCUACGGCCCUGACCCCGCGCUC